GAUAGGCCAGAGCGACUCUGCAGUGGUUGACCGGAAAGAGUCGAGCCUCCUGAUUGGCUGCGCCGCACCUGCAAUGCGUCAAGGCGCGGCGGGCGUGGAGGGCUCCGCGUGAACGGCCGCGGCUGACGAGGCGGCCCGCGGCCCUCAGAAGGGAGCGGCAGCGCCCGGUGGCUGCCAUCUUUAGUAGUGGCAGCGCGGGCGGCCGCGGGCGCCGGGGGGGUUGGUUUUCACGGCGCCGUUUUUGGCUCUGCGACAGAAUUUUUGUGUGUGUGGGGGGGCUCUUUUCCCUGAGCGGGGUGUGGUUUUGUUUUUCCUCCGGACGCAGAGAUGUGGUGGGCGGCGGCGAGGGCUCGGCGCUUGGGCCGCCACCCGCGAGGACGGGGGUCCGAGGGGGGUUCCGCCCUCCCGGCCGCGCUGGGGUCGCGGCCUCUCGGCGUGCGCAGCGGGGUGCGAGCUGAUUGCAUUUCCGCAGGCUGAAAGGAGAUUUGCCGCCUGGGCGUCUCGCUGGAGCCGGGGAGCCGUUCUGGAAAGCUCUCCCGAAUACGUCAUGCUCCUCGCUCGCGCAGCGCGCCGUCCGGGUCCGCGCCCGCACCCUAGUGCGCCCUGAGUUUGCUUGUUUCCCCUCCGCGAACUGUAAAUCGGCUGUGUUGGACACGAUUGGUCGGUGCCGAGGCAGUGGCCUGCAGGGGCGAAACUGCGCUCGCCUGACAGCCGUGGCGGAGAUCAUUUUGAUCGUAUCGGCCUGUUUGCCUUUUCAGGCACGGGUUAUCGCCGCGUGUGUAUCCGGUUCUCACUCGCCUGUGUCCACCCCCGCGGGAGAAGCCGGGGAACCUCCUGUCCUUAUCACACGGGGUCGUGGGUGUUCGGGACUCCCCCUUCCUGCGGUGGAUAUGGGUGAAAGAACUGUAGGUGAUGUGCCUUGGAUGAGUUACAGGGUGGGGAAGCGGAAGAGGCCGUGGGGACUUCGUUUGGCAGGUGGUGACAUCUUGCUUGGCGUUCGUCGGGCUGCACAGGUGCAGAAAUUCAGUGGGUUGUGGAUCCCCGAAGCUGCGUGGUGGGGCCGGCUUGGUGUGGGCGUUGCCAUGGCUACAGGGCGAUGAACCUGGCCCCGUCCCUCCCCUGCGUCGUGAUUGGCUGCCCUGGUUUAUCCUGGCUCUCUGCAUGCCCACCCCCAUCCAAGAUUCCUGGAUUGAUUAAUCCAGGCACACACAGGGGCGUGUGUCUUUCUGUGCUAAUACUUACAGGCGUGCUCACUGCAGUGCAGAUUUUCAGAGUAGAUGCUGCAUCCAGGAGCAGAGAUUUUGUUUUUUAUUUUUGUUUGAGAGACCAGGAGGGGCACAGAUCUUCCAUCUGCAGCUUCACACCACAAGUGUCAGCUGGUGCUGGGCCAGGCAAAGCCGGGAGCCAGGCACUCCUUGGUCUCCUGUACGGGCCGCCCAUCACCCUCUGCCUCCCCCAGUGCACAUGAGCAUGAGGCCGGGAUUGCGAGCAGAGCAGCGACUCAAACCCAGGGACUCCAGUAUGGACCACCCAGUGCCCUUGGUGGCACCUUCACCACCACCCAAAUACCAGCCCCUGGGAGCACGGUGUCUGUACCACUUGCACCCAUUUUGCCAUGCAAGUUAUCGCUACUCUUACAUAAUCUUGCUGGUUUUGAGCAAUCCAUUAUUAGCUUUUUUGCCUUUUCCCAUAAUUUAACCAUGGCUCUACCUUGAGGUUCCUCUGCCAGGAACUAGCACUCCAUUUUGUUGUGUAUCAAUACGCUGAGCACUGAGAUCAGGGACGUGGCAAAAGAAAGGAACCUGCAGCUUUGCAGCGUCUCCUCUGGAACACGCAGCAUCUCAGUGUUCUCUGCCAGCGGAGGUGCUUGCUGUGCGAGGUAGAGCAGCACACAUUGGGCAGAGCUUUGUGUUUUUCUUCUGUGAUAGCAAGAGCGAUCUGUCUCCCAGAGUUCUUGUGAGGGUUGCUGGAUGCAUGUAUGUGCCAGUGCUGUGUAAAGUGCUCUCUGUAAACAGAAUGAUCCACGCUGACUAAUUCUGUUACCCUCUUACCUUUGCAAGGAAGAGUUUCUACCUUGUGGGAAGAACAGAUGAACAAACUCAGAUCCAAAAUAAACUUUAAAUAGCAGAGUUUUUUUCUUGGUGUAGGUAGUAUUAAUAUAGCCUUAUUAGCAUACGUACAUUGCCAGAUUUGAAGGGUUUUUAGGGUAACCAGCUCAUCAGUUUGUCUUGGGUUUUCCUGGUUCUAGUAUUGAAUGUGUCCUGGAAAGCCCCUCUGUCCCAGGCAGACCCGGACAGUUGGUUGUCCUUGGACUGUUUUCAGUGCUUUGAGAGGGGAGGAUGAACAGAAUGGGAAUGCAGACUCCUGCUAGGGAGACAGUUUGGGUUCCCUGCAGCUGGAGGCUACUGGGCACAAGAAACGGGAUGCUCUGUGUAACAUGAGCUUGGUCAACACCUGAAAUUCAGCAUUUCCAUGGUCAGACUUACCGUUUUAUUCAUCUUGAAUGCUCUUCCAGCUCUCAGUCCCCACACAUGGUUUUUUUUUUUUUUUCUUAUUUUAAGAAUUUUUUUUUUUUUUGACAGGCAGAGUGGACAGUGAGAGAGAGAGACAGAGAGAAAAGGUCUUCCUUUGCCCUUGGUUCACCCUCCAAUGGCCGCCACGGCCGGCGCACCGCGCUGAUCCGAUGGCAGGAGCCAGGUGCUUCUCCUGGUCUCUCAUGGGGUGCAGGGCCCAAGCACUUGGGCCAUCCUCCACUGCACUCCCUGGCCACAGCAGAGAGCUGGCCUGGAAGAGGGGCAACCGGGACAGAAUCCAGCGCCCCGACCGGGACUAGAACCCGGUGUGCUGGUGCCGCAAGGCGGAGGAUUAGCCUAGUGAGCCAUGGCACCGGCCAAGAAUUUUUUAAAAUGUAUUUGAAAGGCAGAGAGACAGAUCUUCAUCUACUGGUUCAUUCCCUAAAUGCCUGCGACAGCCAGGGCUGGGCCAGGCCAAAGCCAGGAGCCAGAACUCCACCCAUGUCUUCCAUGAGGGUCGUGGGGGCCCAACAACUUGAGCCAUGGCCUGCUGCCUUCCAGGGCAGACAGUAGAAGGAAGCUAGAGCUGGAACUUGAACCCAGGUACCCCACUAUGGCAUGGGACGUGGUCACUUAACCACCACACCAAACUUCUAAACCAGCUUUUGUUUUCAAUGUAUUCAAAAUGUAUUUAAUUGUGAUAUUUUCCAAUUGAAAUGUAAGAAUGCUUCCUGUACUCCUUACCCAUAAGAGCUGUCCAUGAAGAUAAUGAGAACAUUAUUUAAUUGUGACCUGUGUCUCUAACCAAGGCUUUACCGAACUUUUUCCUACUUCAGAUUCCACUGGUUCUUUUCACAACCUGAAUCUCUAUCAGUCUGAUGAAGCCUACUGCCUCCGUGAUUUGGUGCACGUGUUUGUAAUCGGAAACAUGCUACAUUUCAUUCAGAGGUUCUUGGUCUCCAUGCAAGAAGGAAUUCAAGGAAGAGACCUAGAUGAAUGCAAGCAGGAAAGCGAGAUUCCUCUGAAGCAAAAGUACACACUCAAGGAAUGAGCACGGGCAAGCUUAAAAGAGAAGGAGCAGCCAUCAGCAAGGUUCAAGCAGUCCUCUAGGAUCUGGAGCCAUAGGGGCUGCUGUCUGGACAGGGCUCAAUCAGACGUUCAGAAGGGUGGAGUUGGGGAUGGGGCUUGAGUUGCGGCCAUUUCUGUGCUGUUUCUGGAUCUCUCAGAAGUGUCAUGGUGUCAGGUGCAUGAUGGGAAUGAGAACAUCAGCCAUGGUAAUUAUGAUGAAGUGGAAGUCAUCACAGGGAUGCAGACUGCAGCCAUGGUGGGUAUUUAUGAAUGGCACUGGUUAUAAAGCUGCAGCAUCACAGGCCUUGUGGUUUCCACUGAAGCAGAAGGGAAAUUUGAGCGGUACCUGGAAGAGAGUUUUGGAGGUGCUGACUGGGCUGUCACAUGGGUCAGCCAGCUGUAGCAGCUGGGCAGGGCAGUUCCUCUGGCUAUCACCACCUCCCUGCCUCCGUCAAAAGAAAUAGCUGUGACCCACUCAAACCAGACUUCCUAUUUGAGGUGAUGGGUAUCAUUUCACACUGAAUAUAUGUAUAUUGAAAAAUCACACUGGAGGCCAUCAAGAUGUACAACUGUGGGUCAGUUAAAACACCAAACUAGCAGAUGGCCUAUGGUGGGGUAGGAAUGUUUAAAUAACCAUAGCAGUAACAAAAUACCUCGGAAGCUUCAGCAAGAGACACUAUUGACCCACAGAUUGUGGCUGCGAUUUUAAACUCAAGUCAAAACCAAUUGAUAAAAUUUUUAAAUAAUAAACCUGAAAGGGUCAAAUAUUGACAAAUAUUCAAAAGGAGUUUUUCCUAUCAGAGAACCUUAUUUUUGAAAAAACCAUUAUCUACCUUAGACAACAGUUGGUGGUGUCAGACAGCUUGAGGCAGAGGCUCUCUGCAUUUAGUCUGUCUUCAUGUUCCCUUCAGACAUGAUGUGCGUGGAGGGAGGAGUUACUGUGCGAUGCCAUGACUGGGAAAGUGAUGCUCCCUUUCACUGCUAACCAGAUUGGCUGGUGGAUCUCAUUUAAUGCCAAUUCCCAGAGCAGUUGAGAAUUCUAGAAUACGUCUCUGCAAGCCCAUGAAAUAUCCCCAAGUGUGAUUUGCUCAGGUGCAUUUUCAGACAAAGCACAGGAGGAAACACCCAUGCAGCUCCAAGUGCCCCCUUCCAGGAAUCCACUCCUUGCUCCCGUGAGGAGCCACGGUAGAGGGAAUUUACCCAGGGCAGAAAGUUCACUGAACGGGCUGUGCUGCCUGUCUGAAAAUUACUAGUUUCCAAGGCCCUACAGAAACCAGGAAUCCUAUUAGCAUGGGUUAUGGAACAGUUUCCUACCUGCAGUGAAAAGUAGUCACAUCUGUCAGUCAGCACAUCAUUGCUCCAGUGUCUGAGUGAAUGGGAUUUCUCCUCCAGAAGGAAUCACUUGUCCUAAACGAGUAGCUCAGCCCAGUGCCUCUCCCUUGGUUGCUGGCAAAGGCCCAGCUGCCGAAACCAGUGAGGAAGGCUGGAAAGGGUGAAGGAGCUUUCAUUGGUUGGGCAGGGCAGGCUACCCAGAGCCAUGCGAGGGUGCAGGCCACUGCUCUGCCGAGCCACCUUCAAGCCUUCCCUGAAGACACAGGCACCCGGGCCAGGUUUCAAGUCCAAGGUUCUGACCACUGGCUGCAUCAUAAAACCACUGAACUCUGACCCUUUCUUUCCCUUCUUUGCCAGUGCUGACUAAACUUUCCAGUGGAGCCUCAUGGAUUGGGGUCCCUGAGCACACAACAGGGUCACUGUAGAGGGGCAUCAAAGUAGCCCACUUUCAAGGGACGUGGAUGGCACAGGUUUGACAAGGUUAGAAAAUCAAUUUGUAUAUGGAGAAAAUUCCAGUAUACUCGGACAAUGUCUUUCCAAUCAGACUCCAAAGCCCCAGGGUUCAGAACUCCUGGAGUUGCACCUCCUGAAAAGCCAGCUCUACCCUGGGCCCCUGUUCAUCUGAAAUGCUUGAGGCUGAUCAGCGCCCUCUCAAAGUUUUAUUGAGUCAUUGCAGAUGCUAGUCAGGAAAAGGACCAAGCCCUGGGACAGCUUCCCACACAUCCGGAAGCAAGGCCAGUCAGUAGUUGGAAAGAUGUCCAUUAGCUCUAGAGCUGAGAGUAUUUUUGUCACAAAAACAUGGGGGAGGGAAGAGAUUCACACUGAAUCUAAAUUGACUAAGAGGUAAGAGAGGCGGGGGCGUGGGGAGUGGGCAGAGCUCCGGGACAGGCAGACAGGCUGCGAGGAGGAGUGAUGGCAGCUUCUGGAUCGGUCAGGGCUACACGGAAACGGGAUGCAGUGGCCCUGGUGGUCAGCUCUGAUUUGAGCUCAGCUUUCCACACACCUGCAGGAAUGUCAUGCCAUCUGCUGCUGACUUCGCCCCAUAGCUGUUAAUGGCUAACUUCCCCUCUCCAUCCUCUAGCCCCUGUAAUUCAAUGUAGGACAUUUCAGAUUGUUUUUUUUUUUCCUUCUUGUCACCCCUGGCUGAAAGGACUGGGACGCAUGGUGUCUCUACGGCCCGGGAGAAGUCAGGCCAGGGCCCACGGGCAGUCCUGGGCCCAGGCUCAGGGUUUCUAUACCUCAGUUUCUCCUAGCAUGAAAGGAGAGCAGCAGGGAGUGCGGAGGGCUCUCCUGUGGUGAAACCCUCCCCUCGCCGUGGGCACAGUUGGUUGUGCAGUCUGAAUGUGGGCGGAACACUACAGGUGCACCCUUUUGGGAAUAAGGGUGUGGAGGAAGUCUCCAGAGUUUGCUUUUUGGAGCUCUAAAGAGCUUAAUUGAAAGGUUUUAAAAAGGCUCCUUGAGGGUGGCAGGCAAAGGGCUUGGCUAAGUCCUGGGGGAAACUCAGUCGUGUAGAAUUACCGCAGACUGGAGUCUGAGCAGAUCAAGAGGUGUGUGUGCGUCAGUGGUAGCUGGAGGUGUUCCUGCCCUGGGGGAUUCUCCAUUAUCGGCUGCAGGUGAAGACAGUGCUCGCUUGCCAGAACCUUCUCCGGCUGAGCACUGUGGACACGAAGCACAAGCCUGCCUGCUGAGCCACCUGCUUCCUGGUGGGUCUUCUGCUUCAGGAGCAGCUAAUUGGACCUGCAUAAAUAACAGGGCUAGCACGGUUAUGCAGCGUGCAUCAGCCCCUGCUGUGUGUUCUCUGUUCAGCCCAAGUGUAAUAUUAAUACUGACCAGCACAGUGGACACCUACCUUAGCUGUGGACAUGUUUACGCUCUCCGUGUAGAAUGUGUCAGCAAGAAGACAGGAAUUCUUUCAACAUCAUGCCUGGGGUGAGGUACGGGUUCUAAUGGCCAUUAAGCAAAUGCCUGAGAUGAUUAUUUGCCAGUUAUUAAUUUGAAAUGUAUUUUGUUUCCACUUUAGAUUUACUUUGUGAUCAUAUCAAUGAAAAAUGGUAACGGGAAGAUGUAUACUUUAUGGGCACCUAUUAACCUUGUCCCCUGACUCUCAGUGCACUGCUGAGAGCAGCUUGGCAAUGACAGUGCUUCCCUAAAUAACAAUUUUCACCGUAAGAACUCGGGCAAUGAUUCACCUAUUUUUGACAAAGUACUUUGUUCAGCACCUUUUGUGCACAGAUUUUGACCCUUUGGGGUGGGCGUUUUACCUGCUUUGACUCCUGAUUCUAGCUUCCUGCUAAUAGAGACCCUGGGAGGUAGCGGGCGAUGGUUCAAAUGAUUGGGUCCCUGCCGCCCAUAGGGGAGAUCUAGAUUGAGUUCCAUCUCCUGGCUCUAGCCCUGCCUCAGUCAUGGCCAUUGUGGGCAUCUGGGCUGUGAGCUGGCAGAUGGGAGAUCUCUCUGCCUGUUGAUCUGUCUCUUUCUGCCUCUCAUAAAUUUUAAAAACUAUUUGUAUGUUUGAUUUUCUUCUUUUUUAUGGUUUAUAUAUUUAUUUGAAAUGCAGAGUUGCAGAGCAAGAGAGAGAGAGAGAGGGAGAGAGAGAGGGAGAGAGAGAUCUUCCAUCCACUGAUUCGCUUCCCAAAUGGCCAGGAGCAUCUCAGAUGAUUCUUCCGGGUAUCCCACAUGGGUACGGGGUCCAAGUACUUGGGCCAUCUUCUACUACUUUCUCAGGCCAUAGCAGAGAGUGGAAGUGGAGCAACCAGGAUAUGAACUGGUGCCCAUAUGAGAUGCUGGUACCGCAAGUGGUAGCUUUACCCACUAUACCAGAGCACUAGCCCCUGAUUUUCAAAGUAACAUUCCAUAUUCGUUCUGUGAGUUUCAAGUGCUACUCUUUGCUGAGCACGGAUGGAACACCUAGAAAUUGAGAAUGAGAGAGUGAGCACUUGACUGCUUUCUGCCUUUUUUUUUUUUUUAAACCUUGGAGAGCUCUCAUCUUUCAAGGUUAAAGCAUUGGAGAGCUCCUUCUUUUCCAAGUUUCUGAACUUCUGUGCAGACAACUCCCAAACAGACAUUUCCAACUCUCAAGAGCCUCAGACCCUCAUCCCCCUCAGUUAUUCAGUCAUCAAAACCAGGCCCUCCAUUCCUGGUCUUUGGUUUGGCCUUGAAGUGCUGGGUGUGGUCGGGAAUGCAGAGAAGGCCAGGGGAGCCAUUCCUGGUAUGAAAGCGGCAAACAGGAAUCAGAGUGAUGUGGUGGUGCCAUGAUGCCAGCCUGGGAGGAGUGGAAGCAGUCAAACCUUGUAUGCAAGUGAUGGAUACAGAGAGUGGCACUGCUGUAGAGAAUGGACUGGAAGGAGACAGGAGACCUGUCAGGAGGCUGCUUGAAUGUUACAAGUGUAGUGUAAUGAUAGUACUGGUCAACACGACGGAUCAUUUCUAGUCUUUUGAAGAGGAGAGGGUCAUGGGCCCUUAGAGGAUAGAAUGAAAGCUAUGCUCAUCUUCACAGAAAAACCUGCAUUCAUGUAGCAGGUAUUAUGUAAAAACUGAGGGAGUUCAUUGUUCCAGCGGUGAUGAAAGAAGUGGGAUCGCUAAAGGAGACAGGAAUAUUUGCAUUGUGUGAGUGCUGGGAAUCAGCACAGAGACUUGGAAGGGGAGGGAGCUGGGGAAAGAAGGUGAUGGUUCAAUUUCAUACAACAGAAUGUGGGAGUGGAGGGGACGGGGAGAUCCGAGUUAGGCCAUAAGAGUUUCCCUUCUGAGCACAGUGAGCUCCCUAUGUUAAUAAAAAGGCAGAAAGGAAUCAAGCAUUUCCUGGUGUGUAUACCGGAAGUAAUAUUUAUGCAGCUAGUACUCCUAGGAGAAUUUGGUAUCAUUGAGAUAAUAGCCAUAGAUAAAACAUAGACACUAGAUGAAUGGCAAAAUACGUCAUUUCAUUAGUAUUAACAAUAAGCUUAAAUAAUAAACAGAAGUUGUGGGAUUUAAAAUCAGGAUGGGAGCUGAGCAUUUAAAAUUAUGGUUAUAGGGACAGGCCUUGGCACAGCUGUUACAUCACUGUUUGGGAUGCCUGCACCCCAUAUCAGAGUACUAGGAUCAAGUCCUGACUCUCCAAUUUUGAUUCAGCUUCUUGCUAAUACACACCCUGUGAGGCAGCUAUGAUGGCUCAAGUACUUGGAUGCCUGCCACCCAUAUGAGAGGCCUGGAUUGGGUUCUUGGCUCUUGGCUUCAAUCUAGCCCAGCCCUGGUUCUUGCAGGCAUUUGGGGAGUGAAUCAGAGGAUCGAAGAUCUGUCUCUCUUUCUUGUUGCCUGCAGUGCUAGCAUCCCAUAUGCUCACCAGUUCAAGUCCCAACUGUUCAUCUUCCGAGACAGCUCCUUGCUAUGGCCUGGGAAGGCAGUGGAAGAUGGGCCGAGUGCUUGGGCACCUGCACGGCAUGGGAGACCCAGAAGCUCCUGGCUGUUGCGGCUAUUUAGGGAGUAAACCUCUCUCUGCCUCUGCUUCUGUGUAACUCUGACUUUCAAAUAGAUCUUAAUGAAAAGAAAAAGAAAGCAGGAGGGAAAUAAUAGCCAAGAUUCCCAAACAGGCCAGUUUCUCACACAUGAUAAUGAAAUUUCCUCUGCUUUCCUCCUUAUGGAAAAGGUAACCUUAAGUAGCCUGGUGUUAAUCAGUUGCUUUUCUAUCCUUCUGUCUCCCUGCUCCUGCCUGACAAGGAGAGUACCUUUGAAAUGACCAAUUUGCUUUUUGCUUCUGCUUUCUCCAGCACUUUUCUGUCCCUACCACCAAAUUCCACAGCCCAGCUCGUUAGAACACUUACACUAUUUUAUGAAAUGAAGUGUUGUCCUAUUCCAGAAUAACACAUAAAGCCAAUGGAGAGCUUUACGUUUGUUGUCAUCUUGUCUUUUGACCUAGAUGACCUCUGCACUUGACUCUUCUGGUCAGAAUUGCUUGUUGGAUCUCUGUACAUGAUGUUGGACACAGUGUGGACCUUAGCUGGGUCAGCGUUUUGUGGGGCUUUGCUUUGACUCUUUGAGGUUGUAUUGUCCUUUCGGAAAGUGUCGCCUCGCUCUCCUCAGCUGAUCUUUCCUCGUGUUUAGUCCUUGUGCUCUGGUAGCUGCCGCUCAUCUUUACAAACACCCGUCCUGCUACCGAUGGACAAGCUACCACCUAAGAUCCUGUGACUGACCAGCCUGUCCAGCAACUUCCUGUUUGGGGACUUCCCUUAGAAAAUUCCUUGAGACCUGUUUCUCCAGUUCGCCUGAGUUCGUGGUGAGUGCAGAGUCUCUCCCUCUGAAGAUGAAAGGAGUUUGCUUUUAGAUGUUCUGGGUAGACCAGUUUAAAACUUCAUACAUCAUGCAAACUAAUUGGCACACCUGCAGGCCCUGGGAUGGUGAUGCUGGCUGUGGAAAUGGCCUCACUUAUGCCUUCAUUCACUCAUUCACUCUGCUGUUUAGAAACUCUAGGUUCCAAGUGACAGAAAAUCAACUUGAAUUAGUUUACUGAAAUGGGAAAUGUAUUAUAAGCAUAUUGGACUGUUUCCUAGCACCUGAGCCUAAGAGCAAAGCUGAGCUCCAGAGACAACUGGAAUUAGAGUUCCGGAGCCCCUGGGACCCUCCUCCUCUGCUCACAUUGGUGUUGAAACCCAGCCCCUGCACUGUACCUUUGAUGCAGAUGCUAGGUACUAUCAGGUCCAAGUCUCCCAUGGUCUCCCAGCAUCCCCCUCUAGGGUUAACACUUCCUUGCUAUGCUUUUGCUGAAAUUAACACACUAAAUUGAGCUAGUGGGGACCACCUUGUGGUGCAACAGGUGAAUAAGCUGCCACUUGUGACAUGGACAUCCCAUAUCAAAGCGCCAGUUGGAGUCCUGGAUACUCCGCUUCCAAUCCAGCUCUGUGCUUUCGUAUCUGAGAAGGCAGCAGAGGAUGACCUAAGUGUUUGGGUCCCUGCCACCCAUGUGGGAGAUCAGGAUGGAGUUCCUGGUUCCUGGCUUGUUGUGGUCAUUUGGGGAGUGAGCCAGUAGAUGGGAGGUUCUUCCAAAGGUGUUUCUCUCUCUCUCUCUCUCUCUCUCUCUCUCUCUCUGAUACUCUGCUUUAAAAUAAAUAAUUUUAAAAAAUAAAUUGAGGGAGUGGCACAGCUGCCCUACAGGGUUUCUGAUCACAAGGCACAUGAGAUCAUUGAUCUCACCAUAGGUGGACAUCUUGAUAUUUGGUCUUGUUUUUAAGGAAUUCUUUUCCAGGAAGUCCAGGUCCUGAAUAAGAAGUAACCACCACCUCUGACCAGAGCCCAGUUUUCUAUCAUCAAAAUUCCUUAAAGAAUACGAUAUUGCCACGCAAUAACCGAAGGGUCAGGAGCACUGCAGACCAAGCAAGGAUCUGCACACGAGCUUAGUACUCUGAUCCCUCAUCUCAGUAGGAACCUUCACCCCUAACUCAUCAAGGAUCCCAGCAGUUAGGUCAUCACUGCCCUGCUUCGUGCCCUGUGCUUUGCAAGAAACACCUGCUUUCUUCUACCUCGCGGCGUGAGUGAUUGGCUUCCUGUGUUAUACGAGUGGACCCAGUUUUGGGAAUAUUCUAUAAAAGUUUUACCCUUCU